UCAUUGAAUCUGAUCCAAAGCCCUCUAAGGUCAGUGGGAGUCUUUCCACUGAUUUCAAUGGGCUUUGGAUCAGGGCCGUGAUGA
rnacentral:pre_miRNA from 1 species